UACGUAGGGUGCAAGCGUUGUCCGGAUUUAUUGGGUUUAAAGGGUGCGUAGGCGGGCCAUUAAGUCAGUGGUGAAAUCCAGCAGCUUAACUGUUGAUGUGCCAUUGAUACUGGUAGCCUUGAGUACAGAUGAGGUAGGCGGAAUUGACAGUGUAGCGGUGAAAUGCAUAGAUAUUGUCAAGAACUCCGAUAGCGAAGGCAGCUUACUGGGCUGUAACUGACGCUGAUGCACGAAAGUGUGGGGAUCAAACAGG
rnacentral:rRNA from 1 species